AAUCAACGCUGGCGGCGUGCCUAACACUUGCAAGUCGAACGCGAAAGAGGAGCAAUCCUUAAGUAGCGGGGCAAACGGGUGAGUAACACGGGGGUGACCUGCCUUCGAGGGGGGGAUAACCUUCCAAAAGGAGGGCUAAUACCGCAUGAAAUACCGGGUUUAGAUACAUGGAUAUCAAAGCCGGGGAUCGCAAGACCUGGCGCUUGAAGAGGGGCCCGCGUCCAAUUAGCUAGUUGGUGAGGUAACGGCUCACCAAGGCUCCAAUCGGUAUCCGGCCUGAGAGGGCGGACGGACACACUGGAACUGAGACACGGUCCAAACUCCUACGGGAGGCAGCAGUGGGGAAUUGUUCGCAAUGGGCGAAAGCCUGACAACGCACCGCCGCGUGGAGGAUGAAAAAUUUCGGUUCGUAAACUCCUUUCGACCGAGAUGAAUACCCAUGGACUUAAUACGUCUGUGGGCUGACAGUAUCGAGAGAAAAAGCCCCGGCUAACUCUGUG
rnacentral:rRNA from 1 species